CAGCAGAGAAAAAAACGCACCAUUUAUUGUAAGUUUUUUUCUUCUCCAGCUAUUCAGGGGUUCUCUGUGAAGAAUCAGCUGGUUUUGUUUACCAUGAAAGACCUUUGCUUUAUUUUCAUUCUUGGAGGAGCUGGGGAGGAGGGAGGGAAGGACAGCCGUGUGCCUAGACAGCGGAGCUGGCCUACUGUAACAAAAUAGAGUGUAACAAAUCCUACAAAAGUUUAGAAUGUAUUGAUUCUUUGGAGAGCUAUAUAGAUUAACGACUUUCUUUAUGCUUAUCCAGGGAAGGUAUUUUAUCAUAAUGUAAAUGGGGCUUUUGAAAAAAAAUAAAGACUUAGCUUUACUUCUCCUUAUUUGGAGAACUUCAAAAGGACUUGUGAGGUGGCUGCAAAUUACGACCUUCUCCAGGCAAGCUUUCCUUCCUAACCAAAAAGCCACAAUAAAAUAUAGUUUGUGCUGUUUUUGUUUCGUUUUGCCAACUAUUUUUUUUUCUUUUAAAGGCAUAUUGAAAAAGUGAAUGGAAUGCUUAGGCGUCUGGACUCCACGAUGCAGGUGCAGGCCUGGCUGCUGUGACCAAGUAGGCUGGAGAGCCAAAUGUGCUGAUGGCGCUGUUGUGCCCAGGAGCUGGGCCUCCUCCCAGGGCCCUGUCACCUGGAAGGGAAGGGAGGGGUGGAGGUGGAGGCAGCACCUGUAUAGUCAUGUAUGUUUCCCUCCCUAGGGCAGUCACUCCUAGCACAGGCUUGAUGCAGCACACCCCACUGGACACAGGCCCCCGUGUUACGGCCACCGGAACAGCCUGUGAUACACUGCACGUUUGUGAUCAGCUCCAUCCUUUCCUCAGAGUGUCCCAAGUUCCUGUGACUCAGGCCACGGCCCCCCCCCAGCAAAUCUUGUAAUCUUGAAUCCAGAAUCCAAGGGGCUUGUGCACUCUUUGAUUGUUAUCCACGAGAAAGAGAACUGUAUUGAAGGGUUCAUCUCCUAGAGCAUCUAGCUUCACCUUUAUCAUUCACUUCGCUCUCCAAAUAAAAAGUAGGAAGGGGAUUUUCCAAAGAGAGGGGCACAACCCCAUUCCCACCGAGAGAAGUCGCACACUGUGGGGCCUGAGAGAUGGCACACGAGUGCGGAUGGUACUGAUUUGGCUUAGGCGGUGUGUGGGAAUUAGCAUGGCAGGAAAGAUGCAGGGCACCAGGGUCUCAGGUCUGUGGGAUGGCAGAUCCAUGUGGACUGCUAGGAAAGCCCUCUUCUCAAAUAGACCUUGGUGCUAAAUGCAGAAAAGGGCCUAAGUAUGGUCCAGUUCCUGAUGAUCCCACUCAGGGUGGCCCAAAGGUAGAGAUGAAGUCCUUUAUUGUGCUGAAGGAGAAAGAAAACUCAUCCUGUUCCCUUUUCCUGGAAGGUCUAUGUUCUAAGCAAUGUCCAAAGGAGUCAGUGGCUCGCCUUUCCCGGACAGGAGACAGAACAGACAGAACGCGGCUGGUGUGCUGCAACUUGGAAGGAGGAAGAGCCAAUUCCUGGCCUCUGGGGGGAGCCUCAUGAAGCAACUCACCAACAGCAUCUGACUUCGCCCUCAUGCCAGCCUGGCAGAUGGGCAGAUGUGGCCCACGGUCCCAUUUGUGGGUGAUACUUUCAAACGCUUCUUGCAUGAAUUGUUUUCUUCAUCAUGUCCAGAUCAAUGGGACCAUGUUCAAGUGUCCAGGUCAGAAAUGGGCUUCCUAUCUCCAUCACCUUGAUUUGCCAGCCAGUGUCAGGGUUUGGGUCUGGAUGUUCCCCCAAAGCCUCAUUUGGUCAGAGGUGGCUGAACCUGAAAUGUGUGACGCUGGAGUGAAGGGCCUGUGAUUUCUAAACCACUACACAUGAGUGAUUGGUUUGACACCACCCUAGCCCUGGUAGUCUGAAUGGGAUAAAAGGGGCAGAAAGACUCUGUUAAGGUCCCUUGUUGCUUUUGUUACCUUCUGGUCACCAUGAACUGCUUCCCUUGUUGCUUUUGCUACUUUGUGUGCACCAUGUUGUCCCUGUCUUGGGGCCAACCAACUAUGAACUGAACCUUCUAUAAACUGUAAGCCAAAUAAACCCCUUCCCCUUUAACUUUUGGUGCUAGGUAUUUCGUCUCAGCAACGAGAGAAAAGUAACGAACACAACCAGA
rnacentral:lncRNA from 1 species